rnacentral:rRNA from 1 species
AACGAACGCUGGCGGCAUGCCUAACACAUGCAAGUCGAACGAGGCCUUCGGGUCUAUUUGCGCACGGGGGCGUAACGCGUGGGAACCUGCCCUUAGGUUCGGAAUAACUCCCCGAAAGGGGUGCUAAUACCAGAUAAUGUCUUCGGACCAAAGAUUUAUCGCCUUUGGAUGGGCCCGCGUUGGAUUAGCUAGUUGGUAGGGUAAAAGCCUACCAAGGCGACGAUCCAUAGCUGGUCUGAGAGGAUGAUCAGCCACACUGGGACUGAGACACGGCCCAGACUCGGACGGGAGGGAGCAGUAGAGAAUAUUGGACAAUGAGCGAAGGUGUGAUCCAGCCACGUCGGGUGAGUGAUGAAGGCCUUAGGGUUGUAAAGCUCUUUUACCCGGGAUGAUAAUGACGGUAACGGGAGAAUAAGCACCGGCUAACUACGUG